GACGAACGCUGGCGGCGUGCUUAACACAUGCAAGUCGAGCGGUAAGGCCCUUUCGGGGGUACGACGAGCGGCGAACGGGUGAGUAACACGUGGGUGACCUGCCCUUAGCUCUGGGAUAAGCCUGGGAAACUGGGUCUAAUACCGGAUAUGACUCCAUGACGCAUGUUGUGGGGUGGAAAGCCUUGUGCGGCUAGGGAUGGGCCUGCGGCCUAUCAGCUUGUUGGUGGGGUGAUGGCCUACCAAGGCGACGACGGGUAGCCGGCCUGAGAGGGCGACCGGCCACACUGGGACUGAGACACGGCCCAGACUCCUACGGGAGGCAGCAGUGGGGAAUCUUGCGCAAUGGGCGAAAGCCUGACGCAGCGACGCCGCGU
rnacentral:rRNA from 1 species